rnacentral:lncRNA from 1 species
CUGACAUUUAGCAACAUUGCAUUAACACCUGACUCCUUGUCAAGUUAGCUAAAGUUGCAGAUUUUAGGCAAAAGCAUAAGUGGGGUAUGGGCUAACCCUAGAAGGAAGUUCCCCCCUUCCUUUGAGGUGUAUAGCUUUUUUUUUUUUUUUGUCACAGGUUGACUUUGUGCCACUGAAGUUUGGGGCACAGCUGUGCCUCCAAAGCCUCAGCCCCACAGUGCCUGGAGGUCGUUACUUUGUUAGCACGGCUGGGCCUUAUUAGGACUGGCCCAGCCCUAACAGCUACCUCAAAACCUUUGGUCUUGGCUAAUCUAGGCAAGGCUGUUUCUAUUCAUGUUUCACUGUAAGCCUGGAUGGCUGUGGCUGUCACAUCCCUGUGCAGGAUGUCGUAGUAGGGGUGGCGUGAAUGGUGCAGGAUGUGCAAUGAAGAAUGAAGCUAUGGUCUAAGGAAAGGAACCUGAGAUUUAUGUUGCCAGGAGGAGGGAAUAGGAACGCUUCUGACCUGACACUGGGGCUCUAGAGACUGCGGCGGGAACACCUUGCUCUUCAGAGGGAAGUGUGUGCUGAACUUUUCACCUCUGUGGCUGGAUGGAAACUGGUUCAGUUCCCUCUACAGCACUGGGCAUUUGGAAAGAAGGUGCUCAGGGGUGAGGGAGGUGAGAUGUGCAGGAAGAAAUGAAGCGUGGGUGAGUGAGAAGGUCUGUGAUCACCUAGAAAGGGACUUGGACUUCAUAUAGAAGAUGAAAACCAUGGGCAGGUAGUGGUCAGGGCAGUGAGAAAAUAAAUCCGCCCUGGUCGGAGUAUAGCA